rnacentral:rRNA from 1 species
AGGUGAACCUGCGGAAGGAUCAUUAUUGAAAUAAACCUGAUGGGUUGUUGCUGGUUCUCUAGGGAGCAUGUGCACACUUGUCAUCUUUAUAUCUCCACCUGUGCACCUUUUGUAGAUCUGGAUAGCUUUCUGAAUGCCUAGCAUUUGGGUUUAAAGAUUGACUUUUCUAGUCUUUCUUUAUUUUUCAGGUCUAUGUUUCUUCAUAUACCCCAAUGUAUGUUAUAGAAUGUAAUGAAUGGGCCUUUGUGCCUAUAAACCUAUACAACUUUCAGCAACGGAUCUCUUGGUUCUCGCAUCGAUGAAGAACGCAGCGAAAUGCGAUAAGUAAUGUGAAUUGCAGAAUUCAGUGAAUCAUCGAAUCUUUGAACGCACCUUGCGCUCCUUGGUAUUCCGAGGAGCAUGCCUGUUUGAGUGUCAUUAAUAUAUCAACCUCUUCAGCUUUGUUUGUUGAGUGUUGGAUGUGGGGGUAUUCUUUUUGUUGGUCUCUCUUUGAGGUCAGCUCCCCUAAAAUAUAUUAGCGGGACAAUUUGUUGACCGUUCAUUGGUGUGAUAACUAUCUACGCUAUUAACGUGAAACAGGUUCAGCUUCUAAUGGUCCAUUGACUUGGACAAAUCUUUCAUUAAUGUGACCUCAAAUCAGGUAGGACUACCCGCUGAACUUAA